AUCCAGCUGACGAGUCCCAAAUAGGAUGAAACGUGGAUCGGACUGGAU
rfam:Schistosoma curassoni strain Dakar, Senegal genome assembly, scaffold: SCTD_contig0005607